AACUGAAAAUAUUGAUCCACGUCAGACACUGUAUGAUCAAUGAUUAUUAUCUCAUUAAUGUAGUUACUUAAUUUUCUUCUACUACUUCCUUUUCCCCUUUUUCUUUUGCAGAUGGAGUGUUUCCAUUCUGAUAGAUUUUACUUUCACCAAAAAGUAGAAGGUUACAAUAUUCAUGGAGCAGAAUGCCACAGCUGAAAAUAAGAUCAGAUGAAGUCAAGGACAGAAGCAGACAUUCUCCAUGGGGGACAGUGUAGCAGCAAACUUCUACAACUUUGUUAUGACCACAUUCUGAUGUAAAAUUUCACCUUGAGCAGCCAAAAAAGCACCAUUGAUGCUGAUUUACAUGUAAAAUCUCACUUUUUUUCUUUCUAAUGUUGUAGAUUUCAGUCAAAAUAAGACCACACAUGUUAACAGUAUCCCUGAUGGAAAGUAGAAUCCAAUUAUUGCUUUCAGUUGUGGCUAGAAAUACUGCCACUGUAGAUUAACAACAGAGCUUUUAGCAAGCGAUGAACACCUGUGCGGUCAUAAUUUUGGCUAAUGGCAAUUUAUGGGGAAUUAUCUCUCA